rnacentral:rRNA from 1 species
GAUGAACGCUGGCGGCGUGCCUAAUACAUGCAAGUCGAGCGAACAGACGAGGAGCUUGCUCCUCUGACGUUAGCGGCGGACGGGUGAGUAACACGUGGAUAACCUACCUAUAAGACUGGGAUAACUUCGGGAAACCGGAGCUAAUACCGGAUAAUAUAUUGAACCGCAUGGUUCAAUAGUGAAAGACGGUUUUGCUGUCACUUAUAGAUGGAUCCGCGCCGCAUUAGCUAGUUGGUAAGGUAACGGCUUACCAAGGCAACGAUGCGUAGCCGACCUGAGAGGGUGAUCGGCCACACUGGAACUGAGACACGGUCCAGACUCCUACGGGAGGCAGCAGGAGGGAAUCUUUCGCAAUGGGCGAAAGCCUUACGGAGCAACGCCGCGUGAGUGAUGAAGGUCUUCGGAUCGUAAAACUCUGUUAUUAGGGAAGAACAAAUGUGUAAGUAACUAUGCACGUCUUGACGGUACCUAAUCAGAAAGCCACGGCUAACUACGUG